rnacentral:tRNA from 1 species
CAGAAAAUAGUUUAUUUAAAAUAUUAAUUUUGGAGAUUAAAGUUAUAUUGUUAUAUUUUUCUGA